rnacentral:lncRNA from 1 species
AUCCCAGGGAAUUGUGUCACUCCCAUUGAGCAGCUGUGGGGCCCUCUCCCACAUGGCCCAGGUCCACCACUCUGUCAAAGGUCGCACAGCCCAGACAAAAACAGGACACAGCAGUGUGUGAAUGAGCCGGGCUUUCUCCUUCCCUCCACGUAAUAGAAGGUGCCUGAGGUUGUUGAAACACAGUCCAUUUCUCCUGGGAAUGACAAGAAUUUGAGGGAUGCUGACUUUCAAGGAAUACUGCAUGACAGGCAUCAAGAUAAACCUGAUGAAGAAAACAUAGGCCAGAAUCUGGGAAUCGGGAGCAAAGUAAUACAGCUUCGGGGACAGGCACGUAAUGAGGUCAUGAUGUAGGAGACUCCCUGCAGGACUGGCGGCCCCUGUUCCCUGGGUUGUUCUGGCUCUUUCAGCUGAAUUCCUGCUUCAUCUGGAGGACUGCACAGUGUAUCUGAGAGAGGAUUUUCAGGAGGCCAGAAAAUCAAGCUGGAGGGAUUUUCAGCGUGUUGGGAGAUUGCUACCUGUUUUAAGUCAGGCCAUUGCCACGUCUUUUUCCCCACCUUGGAGACUUCAGGCCUUCAGACAACACUCCCGCACUGGGUUUAUGAGAGUAACCCCCACCUUCCCAGGAAGUUGGAAGCAUUGCCCCAGCCUUUCCAGAAGCUCUGCCUGCCGUUAGCUUGGAUCAUGAAAAUUGGCUCGGCCAGGAGAAUACAUUAUAAGGCCCCAAACCGCGCCAAAUCUUAAGCCCUCAGAGCAUAAAGAUAAACUGAUUUACAAUUAUUUUCAUUAAAAUGUCAUUUUAGGUAUAUGAAUGAACAA